AAUCAACGCUGGCGGCGUGCCUCAGACAUGCAAGUCGAACGAUUAAAGCUCUCUUCGGAGAGUGUAUAGAGUGGCGCACGGGUGAGUAACACGUAAGUAAUCUACCUUUGAGUGGGGAAUAACAUCGGGAAACCGAUGCUAAUACCGCAUAAUGCAGCGGCAUCGCAAGAUGACAGUUGUUAAAGAUUUAUCGCUUGAAGAGGAGCUUGCGGCAGAUUAGCUAGUUGGUAAGGUAAUGGCUUACCAAGGCUACGAUCUGUAACCGGUCUAAGAGGACGGUCGGUCACACUGACACUGAAUAACGGGUCAGACUCCUACGGAGGCAGCAGUCGGGAAUUUUGGGUCGAAUGGGCGAAAGCCUGACCCAGCAACGCCGCGUGAAGGAUGAAGUAUUUCGGUAUGUAAACUUCGAAAGAAUGGGAAGAAUAAAUGACGGUACCAUUUAUAAGGUCCGGCUAACUACGUGCCAGCAGCCGCCGUAAU
rnacentral:rRNA from 1 species